rfam:Candidate division WWE3 bacterium CSP1-7 XT08_C0004, whole genome shotgun sequence.
CGGGGUGUGGCUCAGCGGUAGAGCGCUCGCUUCGGGUGCGAGAGGUCGGCGGUUCAAAUCCGCCCACCCCGA